rnacentral:lncRNA from 1 species
AUUCCGGAACGGGAAGAAGGAGCUGUCUCUCUCUUCUGAGGGGUAGGCAGGUGCUUCCGAAUCGCGGAAUGUAGGUGCUCAUAAGCUGGAGACCCACGGAAAGAACCUAGAAGCUCCGAGCGGUUGCAGACAGCACUGCAUUGAGCCAACGACUCCUGCUCUACUGAUGGUGAUUCCACAGCUUUGUGAGGAAUAAGUUAAGAUGAAUUACAGUUUCCCCUGGACUUCUUUCUCUCUCCUGCCGCCUUGUGAAGAAGGUGCCUGCCUCCCCUUCCACCACGAUUCUAAGUUUCCUGAAGUCUCCCCAGCCAUGCUGAACUGAUAAGGUCCAUCUUGGCAAAUGGUCUGUGUGCACAAGAAAGAAUGUGAAUUCUGCAGUUGUUGGAAUGUUAUCUUAUCUGGAAGAAGAGGAAUAGGAAAGAAAAGGAGUCAGGAAUGGAUCUUACUCAGAAGGCUGACUAGACACAGCCAGGUGGAAGAGCUCCCACUGCGGGACCAAGAUGACUGGAAUGCCCCUAACAGAUCUUCAGAGGGAAGAAACCAGGAGUGGACAGAGAGAAGACACAGAAGCUGGGCUGAAGGUAGUGAAAGCUGGGAAUGUGGCACAGGACUACUGCACACCAGGUUUUGUUCCUGGCCCACAAUGGCUCUGGGGGAUCAGGUUGAAGGAAAAUUACCCUGGAUGGAAGAUCAGAGGUAUAGAAAGAAAUGGAGAGCAAAGAAAGAGGUAAGUUUAAAUUAAUGUGGUUUAAAACAAUGAUAAAACUGUCUUAUGGUAUUUAGAAUUCUAUCUAUCUAUCUAUCCAUCUAUUAUCUGUCAUCUAUCUAUCUAUCUAUCUAUCUAUCUAUCUAUCUAUCUACCUACCUACCUACCUAUCUUCUCUCUGUGUCUAAGAUAUUGUGAUUUAUAAUAACAAAUAUCCAUUUGGUCUUCAACCCUAUUUUCUGGCACACAGCUCCUAAAACCCUUGGAAUCUCCAAUGUGAUGUGUCUUAUUUUAUGCUAAUGAGAUGAGUGAUGGGUGGGGGCUCCUGGAUAGCCUCUAGAUGAGGGGGGAUUGCCAGGGAAUCCAACCAUGUGAUUAGAGAUUUGAAACUUUCGGCUCACUACAGGAGGGGAGAGGGAAUGAAGGUAGAGUUGAUCACCUAUAGCCAGUGACUUAAUUGAUCACAGCCACAAAGUGCAGCCUCAAAAAAAAAAUACCCUAAGGGAAGGGGUUCAGAGAGCUUUUGGACACAUGGGGCUGCUAGAAAGAUGAUGCACCUGGAAAGGGAUGAAAGCUUUGUACCCCUUCCCGCAUAGCUUGCCCUAUGCAUCCCCAUCUGUAUCCUUUUUAGUAUCUGUCAUGGGUGCCACUGGCUGGGGCCAGCAUUGCAGGUGGUAAAAGAAUUUAUCAAGACAGAUGUGGAGAAAGAAAUAAAGAUUUAUUAGAGGGAAAGUGCAUUGCCAGGAAGCAAGGGGCAGCACAGCAGAGAAGGGGCUGUCUGCAAAGAGGCAGGAGCUGGAGGGAAGUUUUAUAAGGUCAUACUAGCGGGGCUUUGUAGAUAAGGUCAUUCUGGUGGGGCUACAUGUGGAACAAGGUAUCUGGGAGUAGGAUGUCAUGCCAGCAGAUUGUCUGUGAUUAACUGUCUUUCAGAACAAUUGUUCUUCCCUACCUCAGGCCCUCUCCUUGCUGUGGCUUACUUAUUUUAUUAGGACUCCACUGUAUCUUUUAUAAUAAACUGGAAAAUGGAAAUAAAGCA